rnacentral:rRNA from 1 species
UACGUAGGGACCAAGCGUUGUUCGGAAUUACUGGGCGUAAAGCGUGCGCAGGCGGCGCCGCAAGUCGAGUGUGAAAUCCCCGAGCUUAACUUGGGAAUUGCGCUCGAAACUACGGUGCUGGAGUGUGGCAGAGGGAGGUGGAAUUCCACGUGUAGCGGUGAAAUGCGUAGAGAUGUGGAGGAACACCGAUGGCGAAGGCAGCCUCCUGGGCCAACACUGACGCUCAUGCACGAAAGCGUGGGGAGCAAACAGG